GGGAAGGAGAGGGGAAGGGGAAGGGGAGGGAGAAGGAAGAAAGAAAAGGGUCUCAUUAAGUUGCCCUGGCUGGCCUCAAAUUUUUGAUCCUCCUGCUUAGUCCUCCCAAGAACUGGGAUUAUAGGUGAUAUUACCAUGCCUGGCUCUUUCUUUCCUUAUUAGUACUGAUUCAUGGAUUCUUACCUUAUCCAAUGGAUUUUAAUCCAUUACUAUCAUUAUUUAUUUUGAUUUUCAAAUUGUCCAGAUUUGGUCAGAAGUUCCCUUGCGUGCUCCUGUCAUCUUUUGAGCAUUUUCUUACUUUUUAGCAUCACAGGAUGUUCCAGGUUCAUCUUGUACAAAUCUGGAAUUAGCCAUUUCUCCAAGGAGACUUGGCUCUCUGGAGCAGGCAAUGGUGUUUAGAAUUGGAGACCUGGGAAAUAAAUGUGCUCCUUGAUACUGGGGUGUC
rnacentral:lncRNA from 1 species